GACGAACGCUGGCGGCGUGCCUAAUACAUGCAAGUUGAGCGCUCAAUCAUGAUACUUGUUCUCUCUAAAUUAGCGGCGGACGGGUGAGUAACACGUGGGCAAUCUGCCUGCAAGCCGGGGAUAACUUCGGGAAACCGGUGCUAAUACCGCAUAAUAACUUCAUACACAUGAUGUAAGUUUGAAAGGCGCAGUAACCUCCCGCUUACAGAAUCCCGCGUCGCAUUAGCUAGUUGUGGAGGUAACGGCUCACCAAGGCGACGAUGCGUAGCCGACCUGAGAGGGUGAUCGGCCACACUGGGACUGAGACACGGCCCAGACUCCUACGGGAGGCAGCAGUAGGGAAUCUUCCGCAAUGGACGAAAGUCUGACGGAGCAACGCCGCGUGAGCGAAGAAGGUCUUCGGAUCGUAAAGCUCUGUUGUCAGGGAAGAACAAGUACCGGUCGAACAGGGCGGUACCUUGACGGUACCUGACCAGAAAGCCACGGCUAACUACGUG
rnacentral:rRNA from 1 species